UAGGUGGGCACGGGUGAUCCGGCCGGUGUGGCUAUACCUUUAGCGAUGACCUCGGGAAUGGGCGGAAUACGAACUGCCGGAGAUCUGGUGGCACGUAUGC
rfam:Desulfobacteraceae bacterium 4572_123 ex4572_123_scaffold_1896, whole genome shotgun sequence.